rnacentral:misc_RNA from 1 species
CUGUAAACCAAUUCAAACCAAUCGUACACGCCCCUACUAUAAACCAUUCAUUCAGUACGGGCCAGUAUCCACAUGUCAUCCUUGUCACACUUUGCACAACAAUAUUCACGUCAUCCUUAUUACACUUUGCACAAGAAUAGGACACCACACAAAAUUACAGCUCUGAGUAAAAACAUCAAACAAAGCACUGCUCUUUGAAUCUGCCAUACUAUGAAACCCAGCAACAUCCAAUACAUAUUCGGUUUUUUAUGAACACAAGGGGAUGGGGAAAGACAAGAUUACGUUGUUAAAAUAUCAGGAACUUUGAUGGAAUGAGCUCCAAGCACCUUACCACCUGCAUCCGGGAAAUUCUCAUAUCCAGGUAGGAGGCCUACCUUCCCAUCAGCAUCUACCUGCAUAGGAUACCUGAGAAGAUGGCCCUGCAAUAAUGUGAAAUUCGGAUCUGUAUAUCUCUUCCAGUUGGCUUCAGCAAUAUUAUUUACUUUCUUCACGCAUUCCAAACUCUCAGGCUCUGCGAACAAUCCUUGGACCUCACCAAGAUGCUCAGCCCACAAUGACAUUCUAUAUCCAUAUACCUGCCCAAGUGGGUGUUUCUUCUUUGCAGCCCAACUGUAAUUGGGUUGAUAUGCACCCAUAGCUAUCUCAGUGUCUUUUGAACCAGCCAUGGAUCUCUGGUUAAUAUUCGCAGAUCCAAUAAUGAUAUACUCAUCAUCCACAAUCAUUCCCUUUGCAUGGACAUAAAUCAUGAACCGCUUAAAUUUAUAAGCAUCGGAGAUCUGAUAGGAAAAAUGUAAUUGUGAGAAAUUUUGAGUUUCUUGCAUAUAAUAAGUCAAAAGCAACACUUAAAAGAAAAUGGCACUCUACUGCUGCUUAGAAAGUGCGCGUGCGUAUGUAUAUUGGUUCAUCGGAAAUUAGAAAGUAUAAUUUUAAACGAGUAUCUAUCCAUGUAAAAAAGAAAGGUGAAACAUGAACCAUAGAACUUUUGAAAGCAAGAAGUUAAACUGAAAAUCUAAAUGCUAAAAGCACUGCUUGGGUUAUUGACUAUGCAUGGAGCCACCUUAAACUAAAAUAAAUGGUACAUGGAACUGUAGUCAUUGCUGCAGCCAACCACACCAUCACAAUGGACAGCCAACUAAUUUAUCCAUACCCCAAAACACAACAGUUAAUGCUGUGAAUAACAAACUUCAAAAAGCACAAAAGAUAAACAUUUAAAACCAUUACCGCUUCACCAUUAGUACUGGACAUCUGCUGUGGAUUUUCUUCCCGUUUACCAAGGCAAAAGAAAUUGAGGUAAUCUCGAGGAUGCGAAUCUACAAGUUGCAUCAAUUUAAGUUCUCGUGCAACUAUAUCAUACAUCAUUUGCAUUGUCUGGCUCUGCGCAAUGUGAAAUUUUGCGUGAGAAAGAUAGAUUCAUCGUAUUGUUCCACUUUCUCGAAAGAAAUUUCCUGACAUGCUAAGACAAACUAAUCAAACUUUCUAGGAUGAUCAUCAAGUAAAAUUGAAUUUGUGUAUUUCUGAGACAUUGAAUACUAUCCUAUGAGUUUGCAACAACAUAAGAAAAAAAAUUCUUACUUGAAGAUACUCCAAGAUUCAACAAGAAUUUCGGUUACACCACCAUACUUAUAGUUUAAGAAUCGAGCUAAAACCAGAAACCAUGCCAAUUGAAGAUAUAGUGAUGAAUCAUGCCAAGCCAUGUACCCAAGAGUCAAAUUGCAGUCCAGUUUAAAAAGGCUAGCAACUCAUUCUUUACAAGAACCUAACACCAACAUUAAGGUCUGGGAAGGUUCCCAGGAAUGAUGCACAAUAAACAUAAUGGUGCAUGAAAAUUGAAAAAUAAAAAUGCAAUUCUUUUUGUCUUUGAAAAUGUAAAGAUGUUUCACAUAAAUUAUUACACAUGAGACAACAUUACCUGCCAGUAGAGAAUUUCUUGCAUGGUUUCAGAUUUUGGAUUGCCCUCAGGCCACAUUGGCAGCACAAUAUACACUGCAAAUCUCUCAUUGGCUCUAAUUUUACUGGAAAUUUUUAAUGCCAACUCCAUUGGGAUCAGAUUAUCAACUCCUGCAUUUUUAUAUGAUGGCCAUCCAUAUGAUGAGCCAAGAAAGUACUGAUUUUCAAUGUAUAUGAAAUGCUGAGCAGAUCUGAUUGCCUGGAUGUAUGCACUUUGAAUGCUCUUAUCCACGACCUGAUUUUUCGUUGCAAUGAGGUUCUGAGCUUGACAAUCAUGGGCUUUUUCAGGAAAUCCUUUUAAUGAUCCUGUGUCAAUAGACCGAAAAAUCUGGACAUGCCAGUUUUCAGGAUCUUCAUCGCUGGAAACAUGUACCAUGGGAUCGUCUGGUGGAACUAUUGUGACACCAUCCUUUGUGGUGAAAGGAGGACUUAGUAUCCAUGAAAUCCGUUCUACCUUUAUCAAUGCAUCAUCAUGCCAAUGGGAUACCCUUUUGAAACACAGUCCAAAUUCUGUCCACUUUGUUGCUUUCCUCCAUCGUUGCUCAAAGUUUAUAAGAACAUCAUAUGCAGCAGGUCCUUCAAUUCUGCAGUGCAAGUCAUGCCAUGGUUGCCUUGGUGCUUUGCUCCCAGCAGGAAAUGUUGGAUUAUGGAAAUCAUCCUUGAAUACGGUUUCAAGGUCACGAAACAAUCGAUGCUCAGGGGUAUCAUAUCGUCCAUCACACAGAUCAAUACCUCCUAAAAAUGCAGUGAUCUUCCUAUCAUUACCAGUUGCCUGUGUGUCCACGAGAACACAUUUUUGAUGGUGUGAAAAGGCAGUUCCAACGAUCGUCCCUGAACUUGGGCUCUUGAAACAAUGUCCCUAUUGUAUCUUAAAACUCUUCAAGAGAGAGAGAGAGAAUAGGAGGGAGAGAGGGGAAAAAAAUUUCCUCAGAUGUCUGCCAUGUCAGCUUUUUAACAUGUAAACCCGCAAAAUCAAGUUAAAAGCUUUAUUAUUCAUUAAACAAAAAACAAAUUAAAGUUGAAGCUAAAGUUGAUGAACAGUAAAUAAAAUUAAUCUGAAUUUUAAAUUAAAAAAAAAUUGUGAGGAGCAAGCAAAAGAGUAGAGCUGUAAAUAAAAUAACCUAACUAUAUAGUUCGUGCAGUUAAAUAUAAGUAAAAUCAAAUCCAUUCAUCUAUGUUUAACCAUAAAGUAAACACACACGUGCAAACAUCUUAAAUAAAUUAUUUAUGCAAUGAACAACGUAAUAAAGCUUGCCUGUUGUUUCAAAAAACCAAGUUUACUGCUGGCAUAGCGAGGUGCCAAUACGCAGAUGACGGACGAAUGUUUGAAAAAUUUUCGGGUUUCUUCAUCGUGUGUCUGCAUCAAUCCUGCCUGCAGCCAAUGAAAUUCACGUGAUAACUAAUACAGAUACAAACUAUAUUUGUAGCCACCUCUAUUGCCCCCAACAAAUAACAAAUUAUUGCCAGAAACUGCAUACAUGGCUAAAAGGGGAUACCUGUGGCUGUGCCUGUCAUUAUCACAUUAUAACAGGCAUUCAAUUUGAUAUAGAAAGUUUUAUCUUAGCCUUCCACUUAAAGAAGGAGCUCACAAUCACACGACUCCAAAUACGAUAAGUGUUUUCAAAUUUUUACUUUACAAGUUCACAACCAGCAAAAAAGCAACCAAAAUCAAGCAAAUUCAAAACUGCAAUGUUAAUAAGAAUUCUCACCGUACUAAUACCAAACUUAUCAUGCGAGGUCUUAUCGUCCCAAACCAGCAACAAAACUCGCACUCCUUCCUCAGAUUUAUACUUGAGCAAUUCACCAAGAGUCAAAUCCCCACCUCGCGGCAAUUGCCUGGUGGGCUCUCUCACCAGCUUAAUCUUAUAGAAAACAGACCAUCCCACAAUGUAAAUCAUAUGGUGAGCCUCUGAUAUGGCAUAGCAAAUAUCCUCCCAACACUUCUCCUGCUUAUAAACCUUCCCGUCAUCAAUUGCAAUCUCUGGCAACAUCCCUUCAAGCACAUGAGCAUCUUGAUACAUUGUCACUGUACUUCCUUUUCUUAAAGGGAAGUACGUAUUCCUCACUCCUAGAUGUUCAGGAUCACCGGCGAUACCGUGGCGGUACAAUGGAUUCUUCUCACACGGCGUAAACUUCAUUUCCAGACGUAGUGCAGAGUCCGGCUUCAGUUGCUUGCCGGAGGAGUCAAGUAUAGGGAACCAGUCGCUGAUUGACUCGCCGGUGACGAGUUUUUGAGCUGGGAUUUUGACAGUUCCCAUAAGCUCCGCUCCAAAAAGGUCAUUAUCCUUAACAUGAAAUUCGAGGUCAAUUACCGGAUGCGCCAGAGGUAUAUAAAACCGCUGCUUCCACUUAGGGUUUUUCGCAUUCUUAAUCACACGAGUGCGAGCCACAGUAGCUUGAGGGACGACGACAGUAACGUAAGGGUCGCUGGUGACGAUGUUACGGUGGUGAUGAAUUUUCUGGUCAUCUUCACCGGCCUCUUCGUCGGUAGAACCCGCGGAGGUAGCGGCAGUGGAGUGAGGAGUACAAGCAGCGAAACAACUGCGGAUACGGGUGGAGACUACGUCCAUGUUAGGCAAUCUUCUAGCCUCAAUUAUAAACAAGUCAAGGUCCCCAUGAAGAUAGAUUGGCUGCUUUUCACUCUCAGAGAUCUCAGCCAUGGAAACAAAAUUUGUUAACAGAGUGCUGAAGUAAAGAAGAACAGAGUGAAAUUAUUGAAAUUGAAAGAGAAGAAGAUGGGAGAUGUGGGUAAUGUAUGAAAGUGGAGAGAAAGUGACGAAGAAAGGAAUUUGAAGGUGAACUGUGAAUAGAGACAAGGAAAGGUUUCUAUACAGACGGUGUUUGCUUGCAGCAGUGAUCUUAGGCCUCGUGAAGAGCGAACACUGGUGGCUGGUGGGGUUGGGGGCAGUGAGGGAUUAUUUUAGUGAAUAAUUUAGAUUAAAUCAAAAUCAAGGCUAAUUCAAAAUAAAGACAGUCUUAUUAAUGGGUUUUGGGUAUUUUGGCGUGGCGAAGAUCAGGCCAUGAUCAUGAAAGUGAAGGGAUUGUGAAUGUGAUGAAUUGGCACCAUUUGAAGGCGGUGGUUGGAAGAUGGAGACAAGAUAGGUGAGGGUAGUGGUGUCGUGGUUGCAAAAACAAAAUGAUGGUAAUUACAUUCUUGGAGACAAAACAGAGACGAGAUGGUAAGCGGUUGCGGAAAUCUUGAAGUGAAACAUAUCAAAACUCAUCAGCUACGCAAUGGUCCAUGUUUUAGGCUUUGAAAAGAAUCU